CUGAUACGAAAUUUUACAAGCCUUCUAUUCACUGUGCCAUCUAGUUAUUCCGUAGAUGAUCAGAGGGGAAAAGAACGGCAAGAGAAACCCCAAUCGUGAGCGUCCUCAUACUGUCCGAGCCGAAUAGCUUUGCUAGGCGCGGUCGGUAACUGCGCAAGCGGUACAUGU
rnacentral:snoRNA from 1 species